UACAGAGGCCUCGAGCGUUUAGGCGGAAUCACUGGGCUUAAAGCGUGUGUAGGCGGACUUCUAAGUACCUUGUGAAAUCCCACGGCUCACCCGUGGAACUGCUCGGUAUACUGGUUGGUCUUGAGCCUUCUAGGGGCGAGUGGAACAAAUGGUGGAGCGGUGAAAUGCGUAGAUAUCAUUUGGAACGCCAAUGGUGAAAACAACUCGCUGGGGAAGUGCUGACGCUGAGACACGAAAGCCAGGGGAGCGAACGGG
rnacentral:rRNA from 1 species